GACGAACGCUGGCGGCGUGCUUAACACAUGCAAGUCGAACGGUAAGGCCCUUCGGGGUACACGAGUGGCGAACGGGUGAGUAACACGUGGGUAAUCUGCCCUGCACAUCGGGAUAAGCCUGGGAAACUGGGUCUAAUACCGAAUAGGACCACAGGACACAUGUCCUGUGGUGGAAAGCUUUUGCGGUGUGGGAUGGGCCCGCGGCCUAUCAGCUUGUUGGUGGGGUGAUGGCCUACCAAGGCGACGACGGGUAGCCGGCCUGAGAGGGUGUCCGGCCACACUGGGACUGAGAUACGGCCCAGACUCCUACGGGAGGCAGCAGUGGGGAAUAUUGCACAAUGGGCGAAAGCCUGAUGCAGCGACGCCGCGUGGGGGAUGACGGCCUUCGGGUUGUAAACCUCUUGCACCAUCGACGAAGGUCCGGGUUUUCUCGGGCUGACGGUAGGUGGAGAAGAAGCACCGGCCAACUACGUG
rnacentral:rRNA from 1 species